CGGUUCAAGAAGGUGAAAGUUGAAAGGUUCUAUUAUUACUUUGUUCAAUGAACCAUGUAUGCCCUUAUGGAGUGGAUAGAGGAAGAAAAGGUCAGCAUCAUAACCAUAUCACGCAUCAAAGAUCCAAGAAAGGAGUUUUGCCAGUAUAAAGUUGGGGAUUUGGUGAAAGCCAGCUGCCAUGGCUUUUCUGGCGUGCAUCCCGCCAAGAUCUUAGAUGAUGGAGCUGACGCCUGGUAGUGGGAUCUACAUUUAUCCCAAAGAUAUACAAGCUUUAUAUAAG